GACUAGGCGUACGGUUUCUCUCUCUGAUGUGGAUAAUACCCCAGAAUCUUUAUCGGUGUUAAGCGAUAAUGAUGUACAUGGGUUAUAUGACUUUCUUCUUCUUCUUAAUUACAUGUUUCUUUUACCAUCUCUGAAUAUACUAGAUGUUCCUUUACUUUAUUCACCAGUACCAUUUGAAAAUGCUGCUGUUUUUGCACCAGAGGUUAAAUGCAAGGAGGUGAGGGAAAUUGAUCAUGUAUUCGCUUUAAAUGCAAGCAGGUAUUAUGGUCUCUUGCCCCAUUGCUGAGGUGGGGGGUGGAUCCUCUAAUGUUCAUUAAGUAUUGAAACUCCAAUUCAAGCUCAGGAGAAUUCAAAGAAAGGAUGGGGACGUGGCUGUGGUAAAUCAAAGUCACGCACCCUGACCCACGGUACUUUUGGGCUUCUUGCACCAUCCCGGCAUACAAGCAGGUCAGCACAUUUGGAUGCAUCACCAAUGAGACAUCAGUGUUCGGAAGGCCCAAGAAUGCCAGAUGGGACACAGGGUAAUACAAUGGGAAGAAGGAAACCUAUUCUAACAGGUUUACCAUAAGUCUGUGUUUAGAGACUUGAGAAAUAACCAAACGGAUUUUGUAAGCUGGUGUGGAGAAUGCCAACAGGAGAUGAGAGAACGUGUUUAUCAUGUUGUCACGGCAAAAAAGAAUGGAGUUGUUUAGAGAUUCGAGAAGAAUUUGCUUCUUGAAAAGAUAGUGGAAUUAGUUUGCUAUUGUUUUGUUGCUAGAUCAAUGUACUUUUAGAUUAUUUCUCUAAAAUUUUAAAAGCUUAUUCUUCAAGAUCGUGAUCUCGAUGAAUGUGACAAUCACCUCGCGAUCCAGUGACAAUCAGAGGGAUGAAAAUGUUUCCGGUUACCAUCUUUGAUGUAUAAAUUUUUGUUUCAAUGAAUUUAAA